GGGCGAGUAGCUCAGCUGGUAGAGCAGACGACUCUUAAUCGUCGGGUCCACGGUUCGAACCCGUGCUCGCCCACCA
rnacentral:tRNA from 3 species